GUGGGGUACCUUCAUGCCCGCCACACCUCGCUCCAUCCAGGUGCAUCUGGAAUAGCUUUGGAAAUGCCGGUCGUCAUAUCUAUGACGAGGCUUCAUCUCAGCCUGACCUUCCAGCUCCUACCUGAGGGACAGUGAGAGAGAAACCACCGCGCUCUACAGACCUGGCUGAUUGCAUCUCUGCACCACUGAAACUGAUGGUAUUUUAAGAGGUAAAAGCGCGCUCACUCAGAAGCAGAGCAAGUGCACCGUUAGCUCUUGUGUGGAAGUUGCCACAGCAACGCGAGCCACUGUUCCCCACCUCCCAGCCUCUCCUAAAAUCUGCUCCAGCACAUUGUCCUAGAAAAACCCUGAGCUGGGAAAGGGUAUCUGUUGCUUGCUAAGAAUGUCAUUAUCUUUGAUAAGUGUGAGUGCAGCCCCAAAAUGAGAUGCAAAGGGCGGUGCUUUUAAGAAAAAACAUUGCAGAAAGAAUAAAAAUGAUCAAAAUGGAGUUCUCAUCCAGCCAAACCCAAAAUAACCCCCUCCUCCCGCCUCCCCUUGCUUGUGUGGGAAGAAACGAAGCUGAGCAGUGGCUGGCUCUGGGAGUGCAUUUCCUGGAGGCUGUGUGCUUAAGCCGAGUACGCUUGAGUGCCAUGCUUGUUCCUUACUGCCUUUGGCCCUGGUGUGGACAAUUAAGAUUCAAAACGUCAGCGUAUCAUGUUAUCAUUCUCUUUGAGGAGUUCCCGUCAUGGCGCAGCAGAAGCAAAUCUGACUGGGAACCAUGAGGUUGCAGGUUUGAUCCCCAACCUUGCUCAGUGGGUUAAGGAUCCGGCGUUGCCAUGAGUUGUGGUGUAGGUUGCAGACGGAGCUCGGAUCCCAUGUUGCUGUGGCUGUGGUGUAGGCCGGCAGCUGUAGCUCUGAUUAGAUCCCUAGCCUAGGAACCUCCAAUAUGCCAAGGGUGCAGCCCUAAAAUAAAAUAAAAUAAAAUAGUUCUCUUUGAUUGUGGAAAACAUUCUUGGGCCAAGUGAGAGGUGGGCAUAGGGGGCACCACUGAAUGUGUCUUAGGAGUGGUUGGAGGGUUCAAGACACUUUUUUUGGUGUUUGUGUUCCUUAGCGACUUUCUUUCCAGGUACAAUCUGCAUAGCG
rnacentral:lncRNA from 9 species